rnacentral:rRNA from 1 species
GUCCUGCUCAGGAUGAACGCUAGCGGCAGGCUUAACACAUGCAAGUCGAGGGGCAGCGGGGAGUAGCAAUACUCCGCCGGCGACCGGCGCACGGGUGCGUAACGCGUAUGCAACCUACCUUUAACAGGGGCAUAACACUGAGAAAUUGGUACUAAUUCCCCAUAACAUUCGAGAAGGCAUCUUCUUGGGUUAAAAACUCCGGUGGUUAAAGAUGGGCAUGCGUUGUAUUAGCUAGUUGGUGAGGUAACGGCUC